rnacentral:rRNA from 1 species
UACGGGGGGGGCAAGCGUUGUUCGGAAUUACCGGGCGUAAAGGGCGUGUAGGCGGCCAACUAAGUCCGACGUGAAAUCCCCAGGCUUAACCUGGGAACUGCGUCGGAUACUGGAUGGCUUGAAUCCGGGAGAGGGAUGCGGAAUUCCAGGUGUAGCGGUGAAAUGCGUAGAUAUCUGGAGGAACACCGGUGGCGAAGGCGGCAGCCUGGACCGGCAUUGACGCUAAAGCGCGAAAGCCAGGGGAGCAAACGGG